AAAUUGUUUUUAUGAUCAUUUUUAUUGUUGUCACAAUACUACUACAGAAUAUCAUGAUAAAACUUCAAGUUCAUGUCGCCCACCCCUAGUUAAAUAAUAUAUGUUUGUUUUUCUUUUAAUAAGUUAAAUAGUUUAUGAUUCAUUUUGUUGCUGAUUUAUUGAUCUAAUACCUUUUAAAGUUCUUGAUGUAGCAAGAAAUGAGCUUUGACUUUAUCUUUGUCUUACUGAGAUUCUGAUUCAUUUUUGCUUAAAAACUAAAAUUUUUACUUUUAAAGAAAUCUGAGCAGUGUUCAGGAGAACCAGAGCGUACAAACAACAAAUCAAACUAAAUAUUUAAUUUCUUUCUCAGUUUAGUGCUAAAUAAAUUUAAACAUGAUGAUAUUGUUUGGUUGAUUGAUUGACAUUGACUUGUUUUGUUUUUGUUCAUGUUGAAUUCAACAUCUUUUAAUAUUAGUUAAGAAAAGGGGGUUAAUGCGUCACAAAUUAUCCUUUAAAUCGAUUAUUUUGUUGUUUAAUCGCAGAUAAAACAAGAACUGAACUGUAAAGUUACAGAGAAACUGCAGUUUCUCUGCAGUUUUCAGUUUUAUUUUGAAACUGCAAUCAUUUCAUGUAAUGUUUUAUAAAAUGUAUCAAUAAUUAUGCUUUAUUCUGGCUUCUUGUUGUAGAUUAAAACCACAAAUUCACUCACCUUUAAGUGGUUUGCAGUAAAUUAUGCAACUUCCUGUAUGAGUUGAGCGUAAAGCUGCAGGAAUGUAUUCUAAAUUUUUACGUUUCCAUUUUGGCUCCAUAAUGCAGAAUAAUGUAAAAGUCUGUAAAAGUUUAAUUUUCUUCAUGUAAAGUUAUAACUGUACGUACUGACUGUUUCUGACCUCAUAUUCUAGAAUAUAAUCAGAACUUAUUGACUGUAAAGUUGUUAAAAGAAUUAAAGAGAGGAAUUUGCAGCAUUCGGUUGAGAUAAUUUCCUGUAAUAUUCGGUUUUUAUUGGUUUUAUAGUUCACUGUUUGUUAGAAUUUACUAACUUUAUGGUGACAUCAAGAUGUUAAGAACUGGUUUGCAGCAAAUGAAGGAAGUCAAAGUUGUUUCACCACAUUAUGUGGUAAAUGACGAGUUUUACCGCCAGAUUCUCCUCUAUAUUUACUUAUAAAGUUGCUUAAAAUGAGUUUACAUUUAUCUGCAGAGUUACUGAAAAUGUAUAAUCAAUUCAAUGGUUUUAAUUAUGCUUCAUAAAAACUAAAUCCAGGAUUUACAAACUGUAACUUGGGGAAAUAAUUUGUUACUUCAGUUUUAUUCUUUUGUGCAAAUCAAAAAUAAUUCACUUGGUGUGGAAUCGUUUAUUUUAGGGUUUUGUUGUAAAUACCUGUAAAUUUACCUGAAAUGUCUUCAUAUUGUUGACUGUACUCACUGUAAAGUCUCUUUUGGAAGAGAAAAAGGUGAAUUAAGUGUCAUUUUUAGUUGAUGUCCUGACCCAAAAGGUCCUGACCUCAGCUGACCGUCUGAUCAGAUGCGAUCUGGGCUGAAGCUCAGACUCGGUUCUGUGACUCUGGAGAAGCUGAAUCAUUGUUUUUGCUUGGAAUCGGAUCAGACUGGAGAGCGAAGCGUUGGCUCAUGUUUGUUUAAACGACUCUGGAAGCCAGAAACGUUUUCCCGUCGAAAUCCUCAUCCAGGAUUAAACGCUGACGCUCCGCCUCAGGUUUGGGAGAAGCGUCUGAUUCCUCCUGACAGGACGGAGCCUGAAUUCAUAGCUGGAUGCUCUGCGUCAUCACGUGACUCUCAGAUCUAAAUUAGGCCAAUAAUCAGGGACGCCUGGCGGCUGAGCUGUUGGAUGCACGGCGUGUAGAACCCAGCUCAGGUGCCGAGGCUCUGCAUGCAUCGGCAUCCUCUCUCUGGGUCCGAAUCCAGAGCCGUUCCGACUCAAACCGCAGCAAGAAAUGGGUGAAAUGCGACGAAUCCAGGCUGCUUGCAGCAGGUGCUGACCUCCGGCUCGUCGCUUAAAUCCUGAAGCUGCGUCUUGUUCUGAGUUUCUGCUGCCGACUCGCUCCGUCACGGAGCAGCAGCUGCGUAACCCGAGCCCGCAGACAGAAGCUGCAACCCCACCGAAAAGACAGCGAAGCAUCCCUGCUGCCUCUCUGCAGCGCCGCCUGGAAGGUUCAACGCUGCGGAGAAAAAAAAAAA